rnacentral:rRNA from 1 species
CCUACGGGCGGCAGCAGUGGGGAAUAUUGCACAAUGGGGGAAACCCUGAUGCAGCGACGCCGCGUGAGUGAAGAAGUAUCUCGGUACGUAAAGCUCUAUCAGCAGGGAAGAAAAUGACGGUACCUGACUAAGAAGCCCCGGCUAACUACGUGCCAGCAGCCGCGGUAAUACGUAGGGGGCAAGCGUUAUCCGGAUUUACUGGGUGUAAAGGGAGAGUAGACGGCAGCACAAGUCUGGAGUGAAAUCCCGGGGCUUAACCCCGGAACUGCGUUGGAAACUUUGCGGCUGGAGUGAAGGAGGGGGAAGCGGAAUUCCUAGUGUAGCGGUGAAAUGCGUAGAUAUUAGGAGGAACACCGGUGGCGAAGGCGGCUUACUGGACUGUAACUGACGUUGAGGCUCGAAAGCGUGGGGAGCAAACAGGAUUAGAUACCCGGGUAGUC